UUCGUAGUCCGGAUUGGAGUCUGGCAACUCGACUCCAUGGAAGUCGGAAUCGCUAGUAAUCGCGAAUCAGCAUGUCGCGGUGAAUACGUUCUCGGGUCUUGGUACACACCGCCCGUCACACCAUGGAAGUGGAUUGCACCAGAAGUAGAUAGUCUAACCUUCGGGAGGGCGUUUACCACGGUGUGCUUCAUGACUGGGGUGAAGUCGUAACAAGGUAGCCGUAGGGGAACCUGUGGCUGGAUCACCUCCUU
rnacentral:rRNA from 1 species